UAAUAAGUCUUUCAAACCAGAAAGACAUAUUUCGACGAGGUCCUCCAUAGCGAGGUUGUGUGAUCGGAAGAACGACUACGAAUUCAGAGUCUGCACCCCGCGCUCCGAACCAAAGUCCAGACACUUUCCGAUUUGCGACGUCAUAUUGUUGUCGAAGCCACUGGACACACGGUUCAUAGUUGUUUUUCUUUUUUUCAUUUAUUGCGACGUCCAGCUGCGGGCCAUUCCGGUUCCCAGCGAAUCGUCGGGUCAACAACGAGACCGCGGCUUUUGCUCCUAUCUAUCUUAUGACGAUGUCAGUACGGCGGUUUCGGUGCGUUAUUAUCUUCCAUCGGUAAACUUACUGGACUUUCUCGAACAUUUUUUUUUUUAGCGAUAAAGAUCGGCUAUAGUGGUACGGACCCGAUGGUGAGACGAAUAGGUAU